AUGACUGUGCGGUGUUGGUGCAUCUGUUCGGUGUCCAGUGCGGCCUGAGGCAGUCCGCACAUCAAAAUGUGGCUCCUGCCCACAGGGUCUGUGGAGUUUCCAGGUUUUCUGUGUGAUGGCGUCACACCUG